ensembl:lncRNA
CGGCACCACGUGGCAGCGCGGGGCGCCCCGGGCGCUGCCCUUCCGAUGGCUUCGCGGCUUUGCAGUGACUCUUCCCGUCUCGCUGACCGCAGCGGGCAGGGCGGCGGCUGCCGCGUUUCUUGAACCGUUUCCCCCGCGAUUCGAGGCGUGGCUCAAGGGUACAGCUCAGUAUGGUUGGCGGAGAACUGACUUCGGGACGCAUCUUAAAGCAUUUCGGACGUGCGGCCGCGGCUCACCGCAGCGCGUUUCACAGACGCCGCCGCUUUGGCCCGGCCGGAAUUGAGCAGCUGAAGGCGGCCCCGCCCCGCUCAGUGCCGCCGCCAGGGGGCGCAGCGGAGCCGCGCGGCAGCGCUGUUACGUAACGGCGCGCUCCGUUUUGUAAGCGCGUGGGCCGCCCGCGAGCGAUUUUAUAACCGCCGGUUACAAAACUGCGGCCGCUGUUUUCCCCGUUACGAAGCACUCCCAUAGCCGGCAGUGACCGCCCUGCCCCGCGCCGCUCCUCCACGCAUCCUCAAGGGAAGCAAGCCGAAGCGAUGUACAAGAUUAAUAAACGAGCCGCAUCGUCCGUCGUGGCAGCAAACGCGUGGAGCUCCAUCGGCGCUGUCCCGUAGGGGAUGCCCACACCGGUGCCGGCAGUGCCUGCAGCGAUGCAGUCCGUGCAUCUCUUCAGACACGGCGGGCAGAGCCCGGGGAGCGCUGAUGGGCGGCUGUGGGCUGCGGCGCAGCGCUGAGCCCGUCCUGCCCGGCCCUGGGAGGUGCGCGUUGGUAAUUAUUGGUGCUUUAUUGUCCUGUCGCAUCCCGAACUACAGCUAAUGUGACAAUAGUGCUGCAUCACAUCCUGAAUUACAGCUAACACAACGAUAGUGCUGCAUCACAUCCUGAAUUACAGCUAACACUACAGUAACGCUGCGUCACUUUCUUGGUCUGAGGGUGGAAGUUUUGAUGGGUUUGAGAUAUUGGCAUUUUUGUGCAGCGUUAAUGAGAAGCACUCACAGAUCCGCGCCCUGCUCUGUGCUGGGCAGCCACGCUCCCACUCUGCCAGCCUGGCAGUUGCAGUGGCCACAAACCCACAUUAGCGAUGUUUUCUUUUCCAGACAUACGGCUUAAAUUACUUUGAUUAUACAACUCUUAAAUGAAUGCCCAACCUUUAAGCCGUGUUUCACCACCAGCACUGAAUUCAGCACGAGGCUGUCACCGUUUGGCAGUUUUUCUGCAUGCGGUUCUAAACAACACUGCUGGAGAGCAAAGAUCUCUUCUCGGUGCGUUGUGCAUCAGCUCCUCCGUGCCUCCUUUGGACAUCUCCGUCUGAACGAGCUGUACCACUUCCUCCAAGUCCCAGUCUUUCACAAGGGAAGCACAGCAGCAGCUCGGUGUGGGUUGGGACCAAUUCCUCUGAGUUCUGUUGGAGUCAUUUUGAUCAUUCUGGAUUUCUGAUUGGGGUUAAAAGGAGACAGGAAUGGGAAAUGUCGCCGCCCCACAAUGCGUAACGCUCUGCAAAUGUUGUUGCAAAUGAGGACACCUUUGCCAGGUUAGAACUGAGCUCUGAGUGCCCACAAAUGAGCAUCCAGACGAUUCAGAGGAUAUUCUCUGUGCUCUUUUUCCCUCAUGUGAAGAAAGACUGGGCAAUAGAAAUAGCCAGAGAAUCCCUUUCCCCUCACUCCCCACGUUCUGGUGACGAUGGUGCCACGCUGUGUAUGAAAUGCAAAUCAGAAUUUUGACAGAUUAUCAUUUUACACAUUUUCAUUAUGCUGAGAUUAAUAGCUGUCACCACCUAAGAAGAGAUGGAACAGCAGUAAACAGACCAGCUGUCAGGGAAAAUAAACUGGUCUAUAUAUUACUAUUCAGAAGAAAGGAUGACUUGAUUUGUACAUUCUGUAUGGAAAAUCCACAAGAGGGGGCUCAAUUUCCAUAAGGUUCUCCACAUGAAGACUUCAUCAGAGGAAAGGAUUACCUCCUCACAAGGAAACUCACCUCCACGUGCCCGCAUCUCUAAGCACUGCCCUGUGGAAGGGGGCAGAUCUCUCUGAUACUCAUCCCACGCACUCUCAGAAGGCUCCCCAGCCUUAAAUCCAAAGAAUGAUUUUCUGCAGAAAUAAACCGUUCCCCUGCUUCCAUGUUAAAAUGGGGUGUAACAGAAAUUCCUUGCUGGUAACAAAACAGAAAGAUGCAUUCAGUGCUUUUCCAGUACUUCAAAACUAUGAGUGAAAACAUAACAGCAAUAAAACAUCCCCAGAUAAUAAUAAUAAGAGAGGUUCCUUUUAUAGAUUUCCUCUAGGUAAAGCCUGGUUCAUUUGGCAGAAACUUAAACCUCCAAAGAAGAGCUGACUUUCUGCAGGAGCAGUCUGCUGAUAUUGCUGGUUACAGCUACGUAACUGAUAGAAGCCAAGAAAUGGAGGAGACGGACACAUACAGCCACAGACACUCCCUUUGACAACAGAAUGAUCUUAGGCUAGUUUAAAUCAUUUUUGAAAGUACAGCCCAAGUGGCCCUGCAGUCUUGCAGCAGUGUUUUACACCACAGAAACCUGCUGCCCCUCCAGCACUGGUGUUCUGUACUGCCAGGGAAAGGAUGAAAGGACGAUGAUGGGCAGUCUGAUUUCUGACAGAGGAAACACAAUAGAGCAGUAAACACGUGUCCAAACCUCCAUUGUGUCUAUCAGUACUGUAGCAAGAGAAUUAGAAGAAACAAGUUUUCAGAUAAUGUGUAUAUAAAUAACAACCUUCCAGCAUCUUUGUGUAUUCACCUUCAGUGUUCUCCUUGACCACGAUGACCAGCAGAGAUGUGUGACACAGGCUGCAGGAAUCCUGUCAGACUCCCAAGAUUCAGAACCUCUUCUUGUCUGGCCAGAAAGUUUCCAAACACCUUUUUAUGCCAGGAAUUUCAAUCCCAUGUAAACCUAUGCAAUAGAAAUAAAGGACAGAAAAGUGAAUUGCUCACUCAGCAGCAUCAAAACCAGAUGCAUGCAAUGUCAUUCUCUGUCCUCUGUAUAUGCAGACAUGUAUAUGUAUUUUUGCAGAAAUGAAAUGCACUGAAGCACAAACCACAACACACAAGUGUGUCUCACACAGCUUUUCUUGUCUUUUGGGGAAAUAAAAGAUGACACAACAGGAAGAGUGUCUAUAACAUAAAAAAGGGAGAAAGAAACUUUGCUCUUGUGACUGACACCAACAAGGAACUCUGUUCCACAGAUUCAUAUGCAGAUCCAGAAACUGUUUUCCAAUAGGGAUUAUAUCAGAAGGAUUUUUCAAGCUUUGUGUGACUGUAGUCAAAAAGUGGCCCUGUUCUGAAGUGUGGUGAUACAGGCAGGGUCAGAAAAAGGGAUGCAGUUUCUUAACAAUACUAUUGUACAUUUAUUUCCUGUUUCAAAAUGACCUUCAUUUCCUUCUCAGACACAUUUAGUCUGGUUCCAAAAAUCAUUUCUGGGCUCUAAAAUAGCAUAUGAUCUUGUGAAAGCCUUCUGAGAUUUAUUUGUGGGAAGGAGGGAGUUUGGAUCUGGAAUGCGUCCCUACUGGUGUUUCCAUUUACUCAAUAAAACAGUCAAAUUACUCACACAUCAAGAUUAUUUACUAGAUUACACAAAUUACUUCAACACGUCUUGCAGAGAGCCAUUCAAUCCCUCUGUAUGGGUGACAUCAAAGGAG